rnacentral:rRNA from 1 species
AGAUUAAGCUACAAAGAGCGUAGGGUGGAUGCCUUGGCACUUGACGCCGAUGAAGGACGUGACUAACUGCGAUAAGCUGUGGGGAGCUGUAAAUGAGCAUUGAUCCACAGAUUUCCGAAUGAGGAAACUCACCAAGAGAAUGUCUUGGUAUCCGUACAUAAAUACAUAGUGUACGGAAGGGCACCCGGGGAACUGAAACAUCUCAUUACCCGGAGGAAAAGAAAGAAAACGAUCGAUUCCCUUAGUAGUGGCGAGCGAAAGGGGAAGAGCCUAAACCUAUGCAUAGCGAUAUGUAUAGGGGUUAAGGGCUCGCGUAAUUAUGACAGCCGCAGAGCAGAAUGAUCUGGAAAGUUCAGUCAAAGAGGGUGACAACCCCGUAGGCGAUAGCGACUUAGUAAGGCGAGUUCCGGAGUACCACAGGACACGAGGAAUCCGGUGGGAACAUGGGAGGACCAUCUCCUAAGGCUAAAUACGUCAAGUGACCGAUAGCGAAUAGUACUGUGAAGGAACGGUGAAAAGAACCCCGGGAGGGGAGUGAAAUAG